rnacentral:rRNA from 1 species
GACGAACGCUGGCGGCGUGCUUAACACAUGCAAGUUGAACGGGCAUACAUGGAAGCUUGCUGAAGUGUAUGUUAGUAGCGGACGGGUGAGUAAUGCAUGAGGACCUGCCUACCGGAGGGGGACAACAGUUGGAAACGGCUGCUAAUACUCCGUAUGCCGAUAGGUGAAAGGAAUGGAGACAUUCCGCCGGGAGAGGGACUCAUGUCCUAUCAGCUGGUUGGUGAGGUAACGGCUCACCAAGGCGACGACGGGUAGCCGGCCUGAGAGAGCGACCGGCCACACUGGAACUGAGAGGCGGUCGAGACUCCUGCGGGAGGCAGCAGUGGGGGAUAUUGGGCAAUGGGGGCAACCCUGACCAGCGACGCCGCGUGAGGGAAGAAGGCCUUCGGGUCGUAAACUUCUUUUGUACGUGAAGAAGCAGAUGACGGUAGCGUACGAAUAAGUCCCGGCUAACUACGUGCCAGCCGCCGCGGUAA